GACGAACGCUGGCGGCGUGCCUAACACAUGCAAGUCGAACGGAACUGUUUUGAAAGAUUUCUUCGGAAUGAAUUUGAUUUAGUUUAGUGGCGGAGGGGUGAGUAACGCGUGAGUAACCUGCCUUCAAGAGGGGAAUAACAUUCUGAAAAGAAUGCUAAUACCGCAUGACAUAUCGGAACCACAUGGUUUUGAUAUCAAAGAUUUUAUCGCUUGAAGAUGGACUCGCGUCCGAUUAGUUAGUUGGUGAGGUAACGGCUCACCAAGACCGCGAUCGGUAGCCGGACUGAGAGGUUGAACGGCCACAUUGGGACUGAGACACGGCCCAGACUCCUACGGGAGGCAGCAGUGGGGGAUAUUGCGCAAUGGGGGCAACCCUGACGCAGCAACGCCGCGUGAAGGAUGAAGGUUUUCGGAUUGUAAACUUCUUUUAUUAAGGACGAAAAAUGACGGUACUUAAUGAAUAAGCUCCGGCUAACUACGUG
rnacentral:rRNA from 1 species